UAGGGAAUAUUGGACAAUGGGGGAAACCCUGAUCCAGCAAUGCCGCGUGAGUGAUGAAGGCCUUAGGGUUGUAAAGCUCUUUUACCCGGGAUGAUAAUGACAGUACCGGGAGAAUAAGCUCCGGCUAACUCCGUGCCAGCAGCCGCGGUAAUACGGAGGGAGCUAGCGUUGUUCGGAAUUACUGGGCGUAAAGCGCACGUAGGCGGCUAUUCAAGUCAGAGGUGAAAGCCCGGGGCUCAACCCCGGAACUGCCUUUGAAACUAGAUAGCUUGAAUCCAGGAGAGGUGAGUGGAAUUCCGAGUGUAGAGGUGAAAUUCGUAGAUAUUCGGAAGAACACCAGUGGCGAAGGCGGCUCACUGGACUGGUAUUGACGCUGAGGUGCGAAAGCGUGGGGAGCAAACAGG
rnacentral:rRNA from 3 species